AAUCAACGCUGGCGGCGUGCCUCAGACAUGCAAGUCGAACGCUGCUGUUCGCCUUCGGGUGGACAGCAGAGUGGCGCACGGGUGAGUAACACGUAGGUAAUCUACCUUUGGGUGGGAAUAACAGCCGGAAACGGCUGCUAAUACCGCAUAAUGCAGCGGCAUCACAUGAUGACAGUUGUUAAAGCGAGGGAUCGUAAGACCUCGCGCCUGAAGAGGAGCCUGCGGCAGAUUAGGUAGUUGGUGAGGUAAUGGCUCACCAAGCCUGCGAUCUGUAACCGGCUGGAGAGGGCGGUCGGUCACACUGACACUG
rnacentral:rRNA from 1 species